UGAGGGAUGCUGGAGGUAUCAGAAGUGCGAAUGCUGACAUAAGUAACGAUAAAGCGGGUGAAAAGCCCGCUCGCCGGAAGACCAAGGGUUCCUGUCCAACGUUAAUCGGGGCAGGGUGAGUCGACCCCUAAGGCGAGGCCGAAAGGCGUAGUCGAUGGGAAACGGGUUAAUAUUCCCGUACUUGGUGUUACUGCGAAGGGGGGACGGAGAAGGCUAUGUUGGCCGGGCGACGGUUGUCCCGGUUUAAGCGUGUAGGUGUGUGUUCCAGGUAAAUCCGGUUCACUUUAACACUGAGGCGUGACGACGAGGCACUACGGUGCUGAAGCAACAAAUGCCCUGCUUCCAGGAAAAGCCUCUAAGCAUCAGGUAACAUCAAAUCGUACCCCAAACCGACACAGGUGGUCAGGUAGAGAAUACCAAGGCGCUUGAGAGAACUCGGGUGAAGGAACUAGGCAAAAUGGUGCCGUAACUUCGGGAGAAGGCACGCUGACACGUAGGUGAAGUGAUUUACUCAUGGAGCUGAAGUCAGUCGAAGAUACCAGCUGGCUGCAACUGUUUAUUAAAAACACAGCACUGUGCAAACACGAAAGUGGACGUAUACGGUGUGACGCCUGCCCGGUGCCGGAAGGUUAAUUGAUGGGGUCAGCGCAAGCGAAGCUCCUGAUCGAAGCCCCGGUAAACGGCGGCCGUAACUAUAACGGUCCUAAGGUAGCGAAAUUCCUUGUCGGGUAAGUUCCGACCUGCACGAAUGGCGUAAUGAUGGCCAGGCUGUCUCCACCCGAGACUCAGUGAAAUUGAACUCGCUGUGAAGAUGCAGUGUACCCGCGGCAAGACGGAAAGACCCCGUGAACCUUUACUAUAGCUUGACACUGAACAUUGAGCCUUGAUGUGUAGGAUAGGUGGGAGGCUUUGAAGUGUGGACGCCAGUCUGCAUGGAGCCGACCUUGAAAUACCACCCUUUAAUGUUU
rnacentral:rRNA from 1 species